UCCGAAUGGCACACACAAUCCAUGGGCUGCGGUCCAAACACUUAAGACACCCUCGUCCACUUACCCUCGCUUAAUGCCCUUAUGGUGAAGGGGAUUUCCCUCUUGAUGGGCGGUCCAAAUGAUUCGCCAAGCAAGGGAAGUUCGCAACGUAAGCCCCUCAGCCCUCGUUUUUAGUCAGCUUCGCGAGUGUACAAUUAUGUACACUCCGGGGCCUGAAACUCCCCACAAUUCAAUUUGCGACGAUUGUACAUGCGCUAAGAAGUCUGCGAAAACUUAAACAUCAAUGGAGAAGUCAACAUACAAGUAACAUUGGAAAGCUGGUGGUUCCUUUUAACAUGAGCCUUCACUAUUCCAAGGUGCUGGAGUACAGAGCCAAAACAACAAGAAGUGUCACUGUCCCAGUACUUUUGGAGCUCACUGUAUCUCUGUUAUCAGAUUCAAAAUCUGGCAGUUGCUCAAUGUAGCAUGACCAAGUAACCAACAGUGGUGACACUGACUCGAUUAAAGUGUUUGUGCGGGUGAGACCUCUGAUCCAUGAGACCAGCCUAACCACUGAUGGAUACCAAGGUCUCUGUCACCUCUCCGAACACCCUCUGCCUGCACAUCAAGCCGUUGCGCGGACAUUCACCUAUGACCAUGUUGCUGAUGUGGACGUCACUCAGGAUUCUGUAUUCCCGAGGUCUGUCUGAUUGCGACAACUUUCACUGAUGACCAACAGGGGGGGAGUACCUGUUGUUCCUCAUCAGCAAGGAGGUCGAAAGGUCUGGAAAGGCCAAGAGCUUCCUGUGCAAUCGCUCCUUCAUUGAGAUCUACAACGAGCAGGUUUAUGAUCUGCUGGACAGCGCUUCAGCCAACCUGUUCCUCAGAGAGAACAUCAAGAAGCGGGUGUUUGUGGAAGGGGCUGUAGAACAUUUUGUCACUUCAGCUGCUGAAGCUUACCAGGUGCUGUCAAUAGGCUGUGGCGUGUAAUAGGCGUGUGGCUUCUAUCUCCAUGAACAGGGAGUCAUCGCGGUCCUAUGCAGGCUUCACCAUGACUCUGCAGUCCAAGGAGGCUGCUGGAGGUGGUGAACAUCUGCACAUCCCAGCUGAACUUGGUGGACCUGGCUGGGUUGGAGAGGCAGAGAGAGAGACACACACACACACACGCACGCGCACACACACACGCACACACACACACGCACGCACACACACACGCACACGCACACACACACACACACACACACACAGAGGGUUCCAGACUCAAGGUGAUGCAGGAGUACUGUCCGCUGACUGAACAUUCACAGCACACAACAAACCCUUUAGAAGGCUAAUUUCCACCGUGAAUCUGUUAUUGUGUAUACUCAUUUGUUAUAUUUUUAUCACUCCUCUGAGAUCAACCCCCUCUUUUCUCCUCUUUCAAGAGGCAAGCAGCAUCAACCACUCCCUCGUGAUCAUGGCACUGGUGGAUGAGUCCAAUGGGAAGAGCAGGCAUAUCUGCUACAGGGACUUCAAACUCCCCUUCUUGCUUUGGGACUCUCUUGGAUAUAAUGCUAAGACCUAGAUUAUAGCCAAUGUGCACCCAAGUGCUUUGGGGAAACUGAAAUCAAAACAAGGCCCUGAUCAACGAAGACAUGCAUGGGAACGUGAGGCAGCUACAGGCUGAGGUGGGAGUGGGAGCAGCCCCUGGAGCAGCAGCGGUCCCUGCAGGAUGCCUUUGACCAGAUCCAUGCCGAGGCCAAGUUUGAGGCAGACCAGUCCAGGCAGCAGCUAGAGGACAACCAGCAGGACAUCAUAGCUCAGCAGGCCCAAAUCAAUGUCAGUCAGCUCCUUUUUAAACCAACCAAGCCCGCUUCUCUGUUAAGGACAUUCAGAGCCUACCUGUCUCAUUUGUAUGACAUUACAGUUUAACCCCUAUGGAGGAUUGAGUGUGAUUAGUUUUUAUUGAUGAAUAUGUUGGUUGAAUUGUAGGAAUUGACAAAAGCUCUUCAGUCUGAAAGAACACACAAACCAAUAUGACCCCCCAUUUGAGAGAGGCUAGAGAGAGCACUUUAGAGUGAGUUGUAUAAAGGCAUAUUUUCUAUUUGUGCAUGAUGAGACCUUUUUGAAGUGUAUUUUAAAUGUUUUGUUGACAUGUUUGAUUUGUUUCUCCCUAGAGAGCUUGUUCAGAAUAUGGAGCAGAAUGUAGUGCUAAAGAAGCAAGUGUCUGACUGGACUACACAAAACCAAAAACAAACCUGUCAUUCAUUCAUUGUUAUUGUGUACAUGGUGGUUAAUGUAGUGUUUUAUUUAUAUUUCUUAGAAAUUGUUAUCUCUAGUAUGUGUUUUUAGUUUUGUCAAAUACAGGUGAACUAUUUGACAUAAUUGGAUCUUAAUCGCCAAUCAACUGUAAUUGGCCCGGCCUUUGUUUGUAUUUUUACUUUGAAAGACUUCUAAUAUGGCAAGCCUUGAACCAAAUCUGACAACUGCCAAUGGGACCAUAUCCAGCCUUGAGAAAAACUGAUCAACCAGUCCAGGGACCUCUGCAGUAAGCUGGGCCAGAAGGAUCAGGGCCUUGCCAUGCUGUCUGCAGGUGUCAAGGACCUUACGGAUAUGUACAAUCUCCUUAGCCGAUGUGAGCAAGACUUUUAAACAGGUGAACAUUCACAGACCAGGACGUGUACUCAGAGCAUGCGCGGACCACCUGG